AAGAUUUGUUUUGCCUUCUGGAUCCCUGUCAUAAUUUCUGAUAUUAUGCCCUGCCCUGCUUGACGGAUUGUUUGCCAAAGAGCCUGGCCAGCGGGAGCUUUGACCUUGGAGGGAGAGUGAUCUGUCUUCAUGGAAACACACUGUCAUAAGCACAUGUCUCAAUUUCGCUUGGGAAGGCCCCGAGGCUGCACGAGAAGAGAGCCUUGGACGUGGUUAAGGAGGAAAAAUGUGUGGCCCAUACAGGGGCAUAGAAGCAGCUAAAAUUAACCCAGAGU
rnacentral:lncRNA from 1 species